rnacentral:rRNA from 1 species
CGGCUCAGUAACACGUGGACAACCUACCCUAUGGAGGGGGAUAACCCCGGGAAACUGGGGAUAAUACCCCAUAGACUAUAGAUGCUGGAAUGCUUUGUAGUUGAAAGGUCCGCCGCCAUAGGAUGGGUCUGCGGCCGAUUAGGUUGUUGUUGGGGUAACGGCCCAACAAGCCUGUGAUCGGUACGGGUUGUGGGAGCAAGAGCCCGGAGAUGGAUUCUGAGACACGAAUCCAGGCCCUACGGGGCGCAGCAGGCGCGAAAACUUUACAAUGCGGGAAACCGUGAUAAGGGAACUCCGAGUGCCCGUAAAAUCGGGCUGUCCAUCUGUUUAAAUAACAGGUGAAGAAAGGGCCGGGCAAGACCGGUGCCAGCCGCCGCGGUAAUACCGGCGGCUCGAGUGGUGGCCACUACUACUGGGCUUAAAGCGUUCGUAGCUGGUCUGUUAAGUCUCUGGGGAAAUCUACUGGCUUAACCAAUAGGCGUCUCAGGGAUACUGGCAGACUAGGGACCGGGAGAGGUGAGAGGUACUCCAGGGGUAGGAGUGAAAUCCUGUAAUCCUUGGGGGACCACCUGUGGCGAAGGCGUCUCACCAGAACGGCUCCGACAGUGAGGGACGAAAGCUGGGGGAGCAAACCGGAUUAGAUACCCGGGUAGUCCCAGCCGUAANCGAUGCGCGUUAGGGUGUAUCGGUGA